UUCUCGUGAUAAAAGACAAUUUUAAAAAAUCAUAUCUAUAUGUAGUAAGAAGUUGUGUACUUUCAUACUAAAUAUUUAAGGUGACUAAAUUUUCUUUAAAACAUAAUCUUUAAAAUAUGUAUAAAGACAUUUCAUGAAAAUAUACUUUCUUGAACUCUUUCUUGAAAUAAUGCACUUGAAACUAAAUGUACUUUACUCAUGAAAACACCACAUAUGAAAUACUAUGGCAAGACUUUUGAAUAACUUUAACUAAAAAGGGUCCAUGUGACAGUGUAAGCAUGAACCAUUAAUCCAGAAUUACCAACGAAUAUGAAGAGUGAUAAUGUAAAUAAUGAGAUCAAGAAUCAACAAUCUGAAAUAGAGAGAAUAUAAAAUCAUAGACUUUGGGAUAAAAAUCCUACUUUUGAUCUUACUAACUGGAAUUGUAGGUAUAAGG
rnacentral:lncRNA from 1 species